AUGCAAGUCGAACGGCAGCACGGGAGCUUGCUCCUGGUGGCGAGUGGCGAACGGGUGAGUAAAGCAUCGGAACGUGCCCUGAAGUGGGGGAUAACGUAGCGAAAGUUACGCUAAUACCGCAUAUUCUGUGAGCAGGAAAGCAGGGGAUCUUCGGACCUUGUGCUUUAGGAGCGGCCGAUGUCGGAUUAGCUAGUUGGUGAGGUAAAGGCUCACCAAGGCGACGAUCCGUAGCGGGUCUGAGAGGAUGAUCCGCCACACUGGGACUGAGACACGGCCCAGACUCCUACGGGAGGCAGCAGUGGGGAAUUUUGGACAAUGGGCGCAAGCCUGAUCCAGCCAUGCCGCGUGAGUGAAGAAGGCCUUCGGGUUGUAAAGCUCUUUCGGCGGGGAAGAAAUGGCGCUUGUUAAUACCGAGCGUUGAUGACGGUACCCGCAUAAGAAGCACCGGCUAACUACGUGCCAGCAGCCGCGGUAAUACGUAGGGUGCGAGCGUUAAUCGGAAUUACUGGGCGUAAAGCGUGCGCAGGCGGUUGUGUAAGUCAGAUGUGAAAUCCCCGGGCUCAACCUGGGAACUGCAUUUGAGACUGCACGGCUAGAGUGUGACAGAGGGGGGUAGAAUUCCACGUGUAGCAGUGAAAUGCGUAGAGAUGUGGAGGAAUACCGAUGGCGAAGGCAGCCCCCUGGGUUCUACUGACGCUCAU
rnacentral:rRNA from 1 species